UUACUUUACUCAGUCGUAAAGUCUUGUGCUUUGAGUAAACAGUCUGUCAACUACUCAAGUGAAAAAAGGACGAGGACUCAAUCCAAAGGCAAUGCUGCUUGAUUAGAGCGAUACUGGUUCAGCAUCAAUGUACAGUUACAGAGAGGAGAGGCCCGUGUGCCACGAUGAUCUACAAGCAAACAAUAUGUUGGGAUUCAAGAGAGAGGAGCAGCCUUGGCUUGGUGAAGAGUUUUCGGAGGCCUUCAGAGAACCAGCCAAUAGAAAUACAGUAAAAGGGACCAGACUGGCCUUCCUGGAUCAGGGCCCAAAGCCAUGUGAAACUCUACCCUGGAUUAUCUGUGGGGUAACAAAUCACUUCAGAGCUCAAUAUAGA